rnacentral:rRNA from 1 species
GAUGAACGCUAGCUACAGGCUUAACACAUGCAAGUCGAGGGACCGGCGCACGUGUGAGUAACACGUAUCCAACCUGCCUUUUACUCGGGGAUAGCCGUUCGAGAGAACGAUUCAUACCUGAUGUAAAGGAUGGGGAUGCGUUCCAUUAGGUUGUUGGUGAGGUAACGGCUAACCAAGCCUUCGCUGGAUAGGGGUGCGGAGAGGAAGGUCCCCCACAUUGGAACUGCGACACGGGCCAAACUCCUACGGGAGGCAGCAGAGAGGAAGAUAGGUGAAUGGGCGUGAGCCUGAACCAGACAAGUAGCGUGAAGGAGGAAGGCGUAUGGGGCUUAAACUUCUUUGAGAUAAGAAUAUGUAUGAUAGGAAUAAGGAUCGGCUAACUCCGUGCCAGCAGCCGCGGUAAUUC